AGCUCGAGGUUCCUCUCCUGUCACACAACCCACUGUGUGUGCAGGUGUCACCUGCCCCUCUUCAAAUUGCCCUGUGGGAAUCUGGGGUCAGUGAACCGCACAAAAUGCUGAUACUCCAGCUGCUGCCAUUGCUCAAGCUGCCAUGCUGUGAGCUGCCCUGCUGGAGAGGUGCAUGUGGCCAGGAGCUGAGGGCAGCCGAGAACCAGCAGGAAAUUGAAUCCUGCCCACCACCACAUGAAUGAGCUUGGAAGCGAAUCCUCCCCCAGUGGAGCCUUGAGAUGCUGCAGCCCCAGCCCACACCUUGACUACAGCCAGGUUAGAAACCCUGAGGCAGAAGACCCAAGCUAAGCUGUGCCUUCAUUCCUGACCCACAGAAACUGUAAGAUAAUAGCUGGUGUCGUUUUAAGUUGACAAGUUCGGGGGUAAUUUGUUCUGCAGCAAUCAAGAACUGAUACACUGGUAUAUUAUUUAUUUCCUCCUCUAUAACAGUAGCGCCACAGCAGAAGGGACUAUGCCUAUCUUGUUCACUUUGGUAUGCCCAGAACAAAAACUAAGUCUGGAACAUAAGAGAUGCUCAGUUUUGGGGCCAGCCUCAAGGCCUAGUGGUUAAGUUCGGCACACUCCUCUUCAACAGCCUGGGUUCGGUUACUGGGCACCGACCUACACCACUCGUUGGUGGCCAUGCUGUGGCAGUGACCCACACAUAAAACAGAGGAAGAUUGGCACUGAUGUUAGCUCUUUCUCCAAAACAUUUCUCAGGCCUGCCUUUCAAAUCCAUUUCCUGACACCACGCUGGCCUAGGCUUUAUUUUUCUCACACUUGCAUAUCUACUGCCUCCUUCGAACAUCCAGUUUUCCCAGCCCCUGGAGACCAUCUCACACUCAAGAGCCAGAAUAAUACCCCACAGCUGUUUCCAACAUCCUUCUCGUCUUAGCCAGUGCAUGAAAUCCUGGGCGUCAAGAUGCUUCAGCCUUUAUCUCAUCCCCCAACAGAACUUGAUAAGACUUUCACUUCCUAUUAGGAAGCCAACAUUUUACCUCUCGUAUAACCACUACUUCUUUUUUAAAGUUCUGCUUCAGAAUUAAUCCAGCAAUGACCCUUUUCAUGGCUGCCUAGGUUUAUCAUACUGAGAGCGAGUGAGGGCUUGAUCUGCUCACCGCAAGAAAAAAAGGCCAAGCAGGUGGUGGUAGAGAAAGAACUUUAAUAAGAGAUAAGCUAGAAAAUCAGAAGAUGGUGGACUAUUGCCCUAAAAAAAACCCCAUCUUAAAGGGAACUCAUUUGGAACUGACUUACAUAAGGCAAACGGGGUUGGGGAGGGGGUUCAGAAAAGUUGGGUGACGGAUGACCACAGGACAUUGGGCACCUCUCUGUAGCGGAUCUGCUGAAUGCAACGUUCCUGAGGAAUCUAAGAAAACCUCAGUUCCUUCCUUAUCUGGAACAGAAGGAACAGUUUGGGCAGAGGACAUAAACAAGUUAUCUUUCUACUGGUUACAGAGUAGCUUGCCUACGUGCAGUUCUAAGCGUUUUUCCAAAGCACAUUGUGAGAAUAAGAGGGGG
rnacentral:lncRNA from 1 species